GCCCCAGUAGCCCAAUGGCAGAGGCAGGAGACUUAAAAUCUUCACAGUGUGGGUUCGAGUCCCACCUGGGGCACCG
rnacentral:tRNA from 1 species